rnacentral:rRNA from 1 species
UACGUAGGGUGCAAGCGUUAAUCGGAAUUACUGGGCGUAAAGCGUGCGCAGGCGGUGAUGUAAGACAGAUGUGAAAUCCCCGGGCUUAACCUGGGAACUGCAUUUGUGACUGGCAGGCUAGAGUAUGGCAGAGGGGGGUAGAAUUCCACGUGUAGCAGUGAAAUGCGUAGAGAUGUGGAGGAAUACCGAUGGCGAAGGCAGCCCCCUGGGCCAAUACUGACGCUCAUGCACGAAAGCGUGGGGAGCAAACAGG